rnacentral:rRNA from 1 species
UACGUAGGUGGCAAGCGUUGUCCGGAAUUACUGGGUGUAAAGGGCGUGUAGGCGGGGAUGCAAGUCAGAUGUGAAAUUCCAAGGCUCAACCUUGGAGCUGCAUCUGAAACUGCAACUCUUGAGUGCUGGAGAGGAAAGCGGAAUUCCUAGUGUAGCGGUGAAAUGCGUAGAUAUUAGGAGGAACACCAGUGGCGAAGGCGGCUUUCUGGACAGUAACUGACGCUGAGGCGCGAAAGCGUGGGGAGCAAACAGG